CAUUAAGUGUUUUGUUUCAGCGAAUGUUUCUGGGACCCCGCUGCAGUAUGUUGGAGUAGGUUACAACGUAUUGACUGGUAACCCACUAUCUACGCGUGAUACUGGGUUACUACUGAACAAAAGAAUAAUUCAGCUAACAGGAAGUCCGUCCAACGUUAGAGAAGCAAGUGUCACCCUCAGCCAGCAGUGCGCAUCCACAAUUACGCACACGCUUGUGCACGGAUCUCUAUCGUUGCAAGAGGAAAUGAAACGCUUGGUUAAUCUGUCUGAUUCUCACGGAAGCGUACUGAAGGAUUAUGGUUUUACACUGUCUACCGAUUUUAGUAGUCAAAGGAGAUUUCUAGACGCCGGUCAGUCUAUGUACCACGAUACUCUGACCACUUGUGCAAUUGGAAGUGUCCGUUACUUUGGAAACAGCGCACGUCCAAAUGGGAAUUUCACAGUCUCGCACGAAUUUGCUAAAGCUGUAUGCAAAUUACCAAUUAAAACUCGUUCUACGGAGGCAUAUAUGACGUUCUUGGAUGAAUGGGGAACAGUAAGCUUAUUGUUACAUUUAGGUCAAAAUUAUUACCAUGAUUUAUAUUUUUGAAGCAGAACUGUUUUGC